rnacentral:lncRNA from 1 species
ACCAAAACAAAAGCAAAAUUGGGCUGCAAAGUUUGCCCAAAAGAGACAGAUCCUAAAAGCAAAACGGAAGAUGAAAAAACAAAAAUAGUAAUUAAAAACCCAGUCAAAUCUAACAGCUGGACGCAAUUAAAUCCCACCUUUUCAUAUUGAAUCGUCACAUCUGUUCAGAGGAUAACAGUUUCCCAAAAGAUUUUCUUCCAUCUGUUAUCAUUUCCAAAUCUCUUUUCUUUUGAAAACCCUUCAAUCCGGGUUCCUUGCCCAUUCCUCCUGCAGAGGUCCUUCACUGCAGAUCCUCUUGAUUCCGACCAGGUUCCUCUCUUCUCCCUUUGUUAAUGUUUCUUUCGCCAGUUUACGGGCUUGAUAGUUUUUUGGUUUUUGAAUAAACUAAAAAAUAAUUUCUUGAAAUCGAGAACUAUGAUUCUGAAUAUCUCUGAUAACUGCUCCAAUAAUCGACUUAUCCAUACCUGUUGCUUGACAUUUCUUUAUGACUGUCUUCAAAUCUCCCAUGAUUGUAACUGAUCGGAGACCCAUUGCUAAGCCUAACUUUACUGCCUGUAGGCAUGCAGAUGCUUCUACAAGAAACGGAGAUGAAAUGUUGGAAUGGAAGGUUAUUUUCAAGGCUCUUAUCUCUCCCCUCCAGUCUCGUACAAUAAUUCCCGACGCCGAUCUAUACCUGUUAGCAUCAAAAGCUGCAUCAAAAUGUAUUAUGUCCUGUGUUCUUGCUUCCCAAUGUCUCUGAACUUCGGCAGUCUUCAAGGUACGUUUUUCCAUUCCCACUGUUUCAAUCUCAGCUAAAUAAGUCUUUAUUCUGUGAACAAGAUCCCUUCCUGAUACAAUCUUCCUCUCAUGCACCAUUUGAUUUCGCGAUUCCAUAUCGCCCAUAAGGCACAGCAAAACACCUAACACUAUUCCUUGGUUCCUUUUUCGAAGACCCAAGUAAGCCAUGUUCUAGUAUUUUGAUCUUUGUAUGGUGUAACCCAAGACAUACUAAUGUUUUUCCAAACUUCAUUGCUUUUAGGGCACUGCAAAAAUACGUGGAGACUGUUCUCUUCCCCGGAACCACAUCGAGGACAUCUCACGUUUGUGGUUAAACGUUUGCAUCGUAGAUUGACUAGUGUAGGAAUGUAGUUCCAGGAUAUCCUCCAAAUCAAAAGUAGAAUUUUUGAUGGAAUUUGUAAUUGCCAUAAUUUUCUGUAGAAAUCUUUGAAUUCGGUCUGUAAUAAAUUAUUAGGAUCCGGAUUAGCAUCUUGUAAUAGUUUAUAAGCGCUCCGUACUGAGAAUUCUCCGGACGGUUCUCCCUUCCAAACGAGCAAAUAUUCACUGUCUGUAGUUGCAAGUGGGAUCUGUAAUAUUUUUUGCGCAAUGUCCGUUUGAAAGGUAUGAGUAACAACCUCCACUUUCCACGUCUUAUUUAUUCCAUCAAUUAGAUCUGAUACAUUUUCCAGCUCUCCAUUUUGAUGACUGUUUUGCCAUAUACUAGGUUCGAUUUCCAGAAUCCACCGGUCAGUCUAAAUAGAAAUGUUGCUUCCUUUCCCAACUCUCCAACAUAGCCCUUGAGUGAGAAGUCCCUUUGCAGCCCAGAUACUCUUCCAGGUAAGGGAAGGUAAAUUCCUCAACUCAGCACUUAGAAAAUUUGAAUUUGGAUAAUACUUUGCUUUAAGAACCCUGGCUAAAAGUGAAUUCGGAUAAUUGAAAAGACGCCACCCCUGUUUGGCAAGCAAUGCAAUAUUGAUCUGACUGAGAUUACGAAAGCAUAAACCUCCAUUCUCUUUUAAACUGCAUAAAUUUUUCCACGAGCUCCAAUGAAUUCCCCCUUUUCCAUGUCCCUUUUUCCACCAAAAUUUCGCAAUAAUUGCCUCCAUUUCGUCACAUAAGGAUUUCGAGAGUAAGAAGCAAGCCCUUGAGUAAUUCGGAAUAGCUUGCAAAACAGCUUUGAUAUAAAUCUCAUACUCCAAUUAUCAUUUCGUUGUUUUAUUCUGUCUUUCAACGCCUAAAAGGAAACCUUUUUCUUUCGUCCCACCAUGUUCGGCAAACCAAGGUAACGUUCAGGCUCAUUUGAACUUCGAACUCCAAGAAAAUUGACAAUCCGUCUUCUUUCCUCCUCAAUAGUGUUUUUGCUGAGAAAGAUGGUUGAUUUCUCAAAGUUCACACAUUGCCCCGAGCACCUUCUAUAUUCGCUUAAUAUUGACUUGAAUGUAUUAGCCCCUCUACAUGUUGCCUCCCCAGAAAAGAUACAAUUGUCUGCAAAUAGUAAGUGCGAUAUUUGUGGACCUAGUCUACUUUGACACCCUUUAAAAAUCCUUCCUCUACUGCUGUUCUCAUGAGUCUGGAAAGGCCUUCUCCACAUAUUAGGAAAAUAAACGGGCUCAAAGGGUCCCCUUGUCGAAGUCCUCUUGAUGGAUAGAAUUUCAUUCCAACAGUUCCAUUGAUCAUAACCUUGUAUGUAACAGUAGUCAAACAUUUCAAAAUAUUGUCAAUCUAAUUUUGAGUGAAUCCCAUUCGAGACAUUAACUUUUUGAUAAAAAUCCAUUCCACCUUAUCAUAAGCCUUGCUCAUAUCCAGUUUUACUUCCAAAUAACCCUUUUUCCCCACUCUUUUUUGCUUUAAAGAAUGUACUAUCUCAUAAGCAAACAAAACAUUAUCAAAAACUAAUCUUCCUAGCACAAAGGCACUUUGAGCCCUAUUAAUGCAUUUAUCAAUCACCCCUCUAAAUCUAUUCGCUAUAGCUUUUGCAAUAACUUUACAAACAACAUUGCAUAAACUAAUGGGCCUAAACUGUGACAUAUUUGUAGGAUUAUUAAUUUUUGGAAUGAGCACAAAAUGAGAUGAAUUAAUAGCACUGACCUCCAUAUAUCUGUUUAAGAGUAGAAGACAAAAGGAAACUGUAUCCUCGCCAAUAAAAUGCCAGCACUUCUGAUAAAAGAUGGCUGGGAAUCCAUCUUCACCUGGCGCCUUAGUGGGUCCAUUUCAAAAAGAGCCUCGUGAAUUUCUUCUCUUGUAUAAUGUGCGGUAAGCCUUUUAUUAUCCACGUCAUUAAUACAUCGAUUUAUACGGGAGAGUAAGUAAUCAAAAUUUCCCUGAUUCUCUGAUGAAAAUAGAUUUUGAAAGUAAGACCUAGCAAUUUCUUCCAUUUCCUAUAGAUUUUCCGUGUCCCUACCAUGCCCGGAUUGUAAACUCUUGAUCAUGUUUUUCUUUCACCAUUGAGUUGCUUGGCUAUGGAAAAAAGCUGUGUUUUUAUCCCCUUAUUUGAGCCAGUUCAGUCUUGCCCGUUGCUCCCAAUAUCUUUCAUCUUUCUCAAUCUCCAAGUUAAGUUGAACCUUCUUAUCGAUCAUCUCCGCCAUGUUGCUAUCAUCGCUCUCAGCUUCAAGCAAUUCAGAUAACUUUGCUGUUAAAUAAUUCUUUUUCCCUUUCUUGUUCUUUAAAAUUUUUCCUGCCCAAUCUUCCAGCCCCUUUUUUAAGAAAUCCAUCUUCUGUAGGAAAUUACCAGUUGAUAUCUUCUAUACAUGUUCGGCAAUGUCGACAAAGGAGUCCUUCAAAAACCACCAGUUUUCAAUUCUGAAACUUUUUUCAUUCUGCUGUCUGAUUUCCUUCUUUGUAUCAAUAAGGAGAGGACAAUGAUCAGAAAAAGAAUGCACCAAAUGCUGAGCUUUUAUAUCAGAGAAAAACGAAAUCCACUCCUUAUUUGCUACCCCUCUAUCCAAACGUUCUCGUAUAUUCGUCUGUAGUAGAUUACCUCGUUCCCAUGUAAACCAUCUACCCACGUAUCCCACAUCAUUCAGUUGGCAUAAUUCCAAAGAUUUCUGAAAUUUUCCAUCCUUCUCACAUCUCGGGGUUUACCUCCUUUCUUCUCACAACCAUACAUGAUUUCAUUAAAAUCUUCACAUACAAACCAUGGAUUAUUCUCUCCAUUAUAGAGGUUUUUCAAGAUAGCCCAUGAAUCUUCCUUAUCUUGUGCAUACGGAGUUACAUAAAAUCCUGUAAAUCGCCACAUAACCUCCCUUUCAUUAUCAUGCACUAUCACAUUAAUAUGUCUUUUAGAGAAGCUUUGAGAGUAAUAUUGACCUCAUGCCUCCAAGCCAAACAUAGCCCUCCUUUAGUUCCCUCUAGAUCCACCUCUAUGCCAUUCACAAAACCACAUCUUUGCCUAACUUUUUCCAUUUGAAUUCUGCCAAGUUUCAUCUCCAUAAAGAAGGCAAUCUGGGGGUCGUAAGUCUUCAGCGAAUGCUGAAGUCUUCUAAAUAUCCAUGGACUCCCCAAUCCACGGACAUUCCAACUUAGGAUUUUCAUAAUUCCCAGUCGGCUUGCCUCUUGGCAUUCGCCGAUAUCAAGUGGUUAAGGUCCCUCAAUCUCUUACUUCUUUUUGGGGAGGUAAUCCCCUCAUUUUGUAAUAAAUCGUCAUUCUCCAUUCUGGAUCUUUUUUUACCUUCUUCUCCUGCUAAAGCCACUUCCUCAAAAUCAUGUCCCAUCGCAUAAUGGCCACGGUCCAUCAAUGAGUUAACUUGCUUUUCAUCUUCACACAAGGAGCCACCUUCCACAUUAAAGCCCAUAAUUGGAUCAACUGCCUUACCAUAACUCUUAUUGCGCUCCAUUGUCUAUAGUCCCCUUACAAAACCCCUAUUUCCUUCUUGAAUUCCACCUGUAGUCCCCUCCCCAUCUUCUUGUAGCCGGACGCUAUUCAUAGACAGAGCUCUUCGGGACUGUGCUCUUAUUGAUAAGUCCCACCCAUUUCUGCGAGUUCCACUCCAAUCAACAUUUUUGCCUCACAAAAAGAAUCAUUGUGACCCAAUUUUCCACAAUAGAAACAAAAAAGUGUCAAUCUUUCAUAUGUAAACCAGACAUAUGACUUUCUCCCCCGGUAUUCGAGUAGCUUCUUUCUUUUCGAAAGACGUCUGGUAUCAACUUGGACCCUAAUCCUCAUAAAAUUCCUAUUUUCCUUCCCUAAAUUAGACCCAUCAUAUUCCAUGAAAUUUCCCAGAAUAUUCCCCAGAUUAAUUGCUAGGUUUUCAGAAAACAAACCAAUAGGUGCUUCAUGAAUCUGAACCCAAAAAGGGGUCAAUACUAAAGGGACCUGCAUGGGUUCCUCCUCCCACCUUAAUUUAUAAAGAAACAACAGAUGAUUGUUGAAUGUCCAUAGGGAGCCUUUCAAAACGCUUUCAAGAUCCAUAUAAUGAAAAAAUUGAAAUAAAAAUCCUUUUUCCCCCUAGAUCUCGGAUACGAACUCCACGAACAGGAUGCCACAGAUUUACCAUGGUACUUUUCAUGGCUGGAAAAUGAAUUAUACUUGCUGUAAGAAAGCACCCCACCAUUUGAAGAAACUCCUUUGUUCUUUCCGUUCCAGGAUUUUCUUGGAUUUGGAUAACAUCAUCCUCCUCUUCAUUAAUUGUUAAUUGGGCUAAUUCAUUCUCCAUACUUUUUCCAGAAACAGAAGUGCAGGAAUCCAGAAAAGAAGACGGGCAAAACAAGAAGACCUAAAAAAAACAGGAAAACCUAAAAGCUUGUCAGAGGCGGCAGACACAAUCGUGCUAGGGUAGCAGACUAAAUGCAAUUCAUCCUUAAUUUGAAAUAUUCAUAAAUAAUAAAAGAAAUAAAUAUUCUAAGAUGGAACUAAAAAAAAUAAAAAUUAACUUAAAGGUGAAAUUAAAUAGUAACGAAUUAGAAGUGAAAUAUAUCAAACGAUUUUUUUUUUUGUAUAAUUCAAAAAGUGAAAAUGAUAUAUAUAUUUCAAAUUAUAAAUGGACAAGUAAAAAAUCAUUAUUAAAAAAUAUGCAAGGCGUACAUAAAUUCGUAAUAAUAGUGCAAAUGUCUUAAUCAUAGACCGCAUCACUUCGAGGUUUUUUUUUUUUAAACUGUGUUUAUCUUAAUCAAUUCUGUUCCAGUACUACUAGUUAGAAUACUCUGUUCUGAUAGUAAAUCAAAACAAUAAGUUUAAUAAAUUUUAAGUUUUAUUUUGGUGUAAAUUUAGGUUGGUAUCGAUCGUGUUAGAUGAAUCGAUUUAUUUCACCUAUACUAGUUAGAACAUGGUGUAUCACUUAAUACAAAAAAAAAAUAAUUUUAAAAUAUAGAUUUAAUUUUAAUUUUUUAUAAUUUAUUUUGAAUUUAUUAAAUUAUGGGUUUUUAUAGACAUGGUAUGAGAUUGUUUUAUUAUUUAAUUUAUGCAAUAUUUUUUUGUUGCUUAUUUUUUUUAGUUUGUUUAAUGAUGGAUUGUAUUUGUGAAGCUUAUUAAAAAAUAUUUUAUAUUUAUUUAAUCUUGUUAUUUAAUAUUUGUACAUAAUUUUUUAUCUACAUAUAUCACAUGUUUUAUAAAUCCAAAAUUAUACACCAAAGCAAAACGGAACUAAUAUGUACCAAUUUUAGUAGAAAAAUAGCAUGCCUAUCGAUAUGGUACUAUCUUGGUUUAUCUUGUAAUAUAUAAUAUUAUAUAGGGUAAAUUACUAAAAUAGUCAUUUUUGUUUGUCUGAAGUUACAUUUUAGUCAGUUAUGUUAUCGCGUUGAAACAUUUUAGUCACCGAGUCGUUAAUUGUCGUUAAUAGUAUAAUGGUAAGCUGACGUGGCAUGUUAAGUCAUCAUUCCAAAUAAAAAUUUUGGGUUAGUUUAUACAAUU